rnacentral:tRNA from 1 species
GGCCCUGUAGUUGAUAUACAACAUUAAAUUGCAGCUUUAAAAGAGUGUCAAACACCAGGGCUU